rnacentral:rRNA from 1 species
UACGUAGGGUGCGAGCGUUGUCCGGAAUUAUUGGGCGUAAAGGGCUCGUAGGCGGUUUGUCGCGUCGGGAGUGAAAACCCAGGGCUUAACCCUGGGCUGGCUUCCGAUACGGGCAGACUAGAGGUAGGUAGGGGAGAACGGAAUUCCUGGUGUAGCGGUGAAAUGCGCAGAUAUCAGGAGGAACACCGGUGGCGAAGGCGGCUCUCUGGGACGGUACUGACACUGAGGAGCGAAAGCGUGGGGAGCGAACAGG